CUCCCGGGAAGAAGCGGUGGAAAUCCUCGGUGUAACUCCCAGCUGCACCGCCGACUGCCCUCGAGCGCGUGAUUUAGUACCGAGUGCUGAGUAUCCCGCGGAGCUUUGUUUAGUUGCGCUGACUUCUCACAGCAACCCUCGAGCUGGGCAGAGUGGACAGUGAGAGAGAGAGAGAGACAGAGAGAAAGGUCUUCCUUUACCAUUCGUUCACCCUCCAAUGGCCGCUACAGCCGGUGCACUGCGGCUGGCGCGCUGUGCUGAUCCGAAGCCAGGAGCCAGGUGCUUCCUCCUGGUCUCCCGGGGACCAAGGACCUGGGCCAUCCUCCACUGCCAUCCCAGGCCACAGAAGAGAGCUGGACUGAAAGAGGAGCAACCGGGACUAGAACCCAGGAUUCUAAUUCUAAUUCCAGAUAAUCUAGGAACAUUUUGACCUUAAUUUCUUCAUCUCUAGAAGAGACUGAUUGUAGGUGAUUUCUAAGAGUGAGUGAGUUCUAAAAUGUAUUAUACGUUUGAAAAAAACAUUUUACAUAUUGUUAUUCCAUUCAUAUACAAGUACACUCAGGAAAAAAUGGCACAAAAGAUACAUGAAAGAGUCAUGAGACACUGAAUCAUCUUUUUAAAUUGUGCUGUCCCGUGUUCUCUGCAUUCUGCAGGUUCUAUUUUUUGUAGUUAGAAACAUGUAAACAGUAUAAUUGUGAUUCUAAUCUUAGAAGUACAGUGGUUUCUGUUCUGAACACACAUGAGCAUCAGCUCAGCACGUUCUGAAAUGCUGAUGCCUGGGCAGCUCCAGAGAUGCUGAUCCAUCUGCUAAGGGUGGGGUCUGCGCACCAGUGUUUUUUAUGGUUCUCCGGGUGGUUGUCCUGUGGGGCGAGAAUUGAGAACUGCUAACUUAAAGCAGCUUGUUGCAAAAUAACAAGAUUAUCUCCAUCUCUCUGUCUUGUCUUUCAAAAUAAAGUGAAAAUAAAAUAUUUAAAGAGUAAAAUAAGCAAACACAAUAACAAAGUUUGAACUUACACUGAGAAUUUUAGCAACCACUAGCUUUUGAGAGCCUCCUUGUAUGCCUCCCACUGGAUUAAACCUUGAUUAUGAUGGACAUACUUAACUUUCCUUACUUGUGCCUUUGAGCAAAGAUGAUUUUAAUUAAAGAAAGUACAAGAAAGUAAA